rnacentral:rRNA from 1 species
UACGAAGGGGGCUAGCGUUGCUCGGAAUCACUGGGCGUAAAGCGCACGUAGGCGGAUUGUUAAGUCAGGGGUGAAAUCCUGGAGCUCAACUCCAGAACUGCCUUUGAUACUGGCGAUCUCGAGUCCGGGAGAGGUGAGUGGAACUGCGAGUGUAGAGGUGAAAUUCGUAGAUAUUCGGAAGAACACCAGUGGCGAAGGCGGCUCAACUGGCCCGGUACUGACGCUGAGGUGC